rnacentral:rRNA from 1 species
AGAGUUUGAUCAUGGCUCAGAAUCAACGCUGGCGGCGUGCCUAACACAUGCAAGUCGAACGAGAAAGCGGAGGCAACUCCGUGAGUAGAGUGGCAGACGGGUGAGUAACACGUGAACAAUCUACCCUUGAGUGGGGAAUAACACCGCGAAAGUGGUGCUAAUACCGCAUAAAAUCUCUGGGUCGCAUGGCUCGGAGAUCAAAAGCGAAAGCUGCUUGAGGAGGAGUUCGCGGCUGAUUAGCUAGUUGGUGAGGUAACGGCCCACCAAGGCGACGAUCAGUAGCCGGCCUGAGAGGGCGAACGGCCACACUGGAACUGAGACACGGUCCAGACUCCUACGGGAGGCAGCAGUGGGGAAUUUUGCGCAAUGGGCGAAAGCCUGACGCAGCAACGCCGCGUGGAGGAUGAAGGCCUUCGGGUCGUAAACUCCUGUCAGGGGGGACGAAAGCCUUAAUCGGUUUGACUGUACCCUCUGAGGAAGCCACGGCUAACUCCGUGCCAGCAGCCGCGGUAAUACGGAGGUGGCAAGCGUUGUUCGGAAUUACUGGGCGUAAAGGGCGCGUAGGCGGCCGGGCAAGUCAGAUGUGAAAGCCCCGGGCUUAACUCGGGAAUUGCAUCUGAAACUGCUUAGCUUGAGUCCUGGAGGGGGUAGUGGAAUUCCCAGUGUAGCGGUGAAAUGCGUAGAUAUUGGGAGGAACACCUGCGGCGAAGGCGGCUACCUGGACAGUGACUGACGCUGAUGCGCGAAAGCUAGGGGAGCGAACGGGAUUAGAUACCCUAGUAGUCC